GACGACUUAGCUCAGUGGUAGAGCGCGUGACUUUUAAUUCCGUGGCCGUGGGUUCUAUCCCCACAGUCGGCG
rfam:Brassica oleracea var. oleracea cultivar TO1000 chromosome C3, whole genome shotgun sequence